AUGGGUGCUUGUUACGACAAGAACGUCGUUAUUGUGUACUCGUAUGAAACGACCGUUUUCAACAGUGAUUUGCGACGCCAAGGCGUGUAUUCGUUGAGGUAUUCUGAUGGGCUAACCUGUGGUUGCGUGAAGUCGGAUAAUAUGUUACCAGAAGGUUGCGCAAGGUUUCGUUAACUUCACUGCUUGGAGUCACCAUUGUAUCGGAGCUCUCCCACCAAGCUGACCUCGGAACAAUUUUUGUAGAUUCCGCUACGAGAUUCCAGCCACACACCGGUUGACCCCAAAUCCUCAAUGCCUGAACCAUUUGGCCUUUCCAGCUGUGGCUGUUCGGAUGAGUGUGCGCCUUGCUCGGAAACAUCCGGCCAGGAAAACCAAGUACGAGGACAUGUUUUGCUGAAGCUUUCUUGUUUUCCAAACCAUCUCACUGAUGCCUAAAGAGAAAGGUGUGUUCAAUGAAGACCACCGCCUUCAUCAAGCGACUAAAGAAUUAUGCACAAAGGUUUCGUAAAUCAACAAGAUAAAAAAAAACACCAAAUAAAGUACUACAUGGGAAGCGCUCGACAAGUCCUGAGCUAUACAAACUCUUGGGUAGCCAAGUGGCACUCCAUUGUCGCAAGAGAAAAGGAAGGAGGUGGUCUCGAGAGGUGAAGGAAUUGGCCUUGAAUAUGUAUUUCGACGGGCAAAGUUAUUACCGCCAACUCACGAAAGCAAUCACUUUGCCAUCACCGAGGUCCCUUCAAAGGUGGUUAUCUGAAAUUCCAAUAACACCCGGAAUUAUUUCGAAUGUAUUAGACAGUCUUAAAGAAGCAGCAAAAAAAUGUCUAAUAGAAGAUCAGGCAGGCGUAAUUGCAAUUUGACGAAAUGUCAGUGAGACCAAAAUUAUAGUAAGACACAGCACAUGACGCCUUCAUUGGACUUUCAGUUGAUGGCUCAGAGAGGGCAACAACGGUGGCAAAUGUAGCGCUUGUAGCACUCCUUUCAGGAUUUUAGUGAUCGUGGGUGAUGCCAGUGGCAUUCGCUGUUGCCAAAACUGCUCUACGUGCGGAAAAGAUCCAGAGACUGCUACUAGUAUUGAUAGCGCAACUUGCAGAAUGCGAGGUGUAUGCUAAACCUGGCUGUGCGAUCAGGGGUCAAGUAAUAAUAAAUACUUCGAUGAAUUGGCAGCCACACCACAAAUUUCAUACUUUGAAGUGAACGGACACGAAAAUUAUUCUUCGACACUCCACCACCUAUUGAAGUGCCAAAGAAAUGACCUUCGAGCUCCUCACAAGCUUUAUAUUGGCACCAAAAUUGUGGACUGGAGUGACAAUCGCGAACUGUUCGAGUGCUCUGACCCGCUUAGAAUAAAAUUGGUGAAAAAUUAA